rnacentral:rRNA from 1 species
AACGAACGCUGGCGGCAGGCCUAACACAUGCAAGUCGAACGGGCGUAGCAAUACGUCAGUGGCGCACGGGUGAGUAACGCGUGGGCAACCUACCUGGUGGUACGGAAUAACCGCGGGAAACUGCGGCUAAUACCGUAUGUCCCCUAUGGGGGAAAGAUUUAUCGCCAUCAGAUGGGCCCGCGUAGGAUUAGCUAGUUGGUGAGGUAACGGCUCACCAAGGCUUCGAUCCUUAGCUGGUCUGAGAGGAUGAUCAGCCACACUGGGACUGAG